rnacentral:lncRNA from 1 species
AAUCCUGAGGGCACCUCAAUGAGAAGGAGUCAGCUUGACCAAUCUCUGACACUUUUCUUUUCCUCAGAAGGCAUGGACAAAUGGAUGGAGGCCUGGUGUGACUUCUGCGCUCUUGGCUCCAUUCCACUCACCAAUUAAUCACCUUCCCCUAGCCUGACAAGCCGAGCCCUUUGCCGCUGUUCAUCCUCUGGCUGUUCCGGCGAUUGCUCUAAAGGCUCCCUCAGAUGCAGGAACCCAUCAGUUUCAACAGCCAUUUGGGAAUGUUCGGCGCCUUCACCACAUGGUAAAACCAAGAAUAUUUUGAGCGGAUGGUUCUGGAAUGAUUUCAAAGCUCUUGCUGAUGUAGACAUGUGCGGCCUUCUCCUCCAGCUGCCCAGGAUUAUGAACAGUGGGGGUUACAUCACCAUGUGCCACCAUGUGCUUACUGGCUAUGGCUGCCUCUGAGCAACGAAGGCAGAGGUAAAUCAUUGCAAAAGAGACUGUCCACCGUACAGAGCUGAAGCUAUUUUCUGUCUGUUCCUUCUGGAAAAAAAAGCUUUCCAAACCCUGGCUUACAUGAAGAAAAUGUGGGUCAGAGAUGCUCUGAGGAGAGUAGCGGACCACUGAGUUUCUGUAUGAGACCAGAAAAGCAGAGGGAACAGCCUUUAUGCGGCACAGUGACUGAGCAUGUCCACCUGCUCCUGAACUUGUGAUGGGGCCACUCCUGAUAAAGCCACGAUCACUCAAAAAUCCAGCUAUCUCAGGCCAUUUCACAAGCACUUACUAUUUGCUAUGACAUUACUCCCUGGGGGGGGGGGGUGGACUAUAAGAAAGUAUGGUCGCUUCAAGGCUUGAAGAUUCCUAUAGUUUAAAAGGUAUAGCCUGGGUCAAGAUGACUAGAAAGAAAAAGGAUAAGCUAAAAGGAAGCCAGCCCGAAAUUCACAAUCUUGCUGUAAAGACUGAUGAACUCACAUGAGCUACAGCCCAGGGUCAGGGUCAGGGUCAGGGUCAGAGUCAGAGACCAUGGCUCUGUGAGCUGCCUUUCUUUAGGAAAAAUGUUGGACUUCUGAACUUACCCACCAAUGACCUCAUGGAAGACAGAGCACCUAAGGAAGCAGAGACAGGGGAAUCACAAGUUUAUGGCCAGUCUGGGCUCCGCAAUGAGAAAGCUCUUAGUGGCCAGGAUUUACAAGAAAGCUGCAGCAAGUGUACUUUGUAACAGUGAGCCAAUGGCAUUGAUGCAGAAGGAGGCCUGCUAUUUGACAGCCUUGAGCCAAACCCCAUUCCCCGGAGGGCAGGAGCCCUGUGUGUCUUAAAAGCCCCACAGAGGUUCCUUCACCCCUCAGAGGACUCCACCCUUCCUCAGCGAUCCUGUCCAGGCUUCAGUCGCCACCCGUAAUGGGAGAAAGUUCAUCAUCAGCUCCAACAGAAACCUUCCCUGCUGGGGCUCUUCUCAGUGGCUCUCCAGAGACCCAGGAAGCUCAGGAGCUGCUGCCUCCCUUCCUUCCUUCACGAUGGUGAACUUGAGGGCAACGGUGUGGGCGUUACAAGUAGAAGGCAGAACUGAGUUGAGUCUUAGAGCAGAAACUGACCACGUGACCUUGGACAUGUUGCUUGCUAUCUCCUACUUCGGUUCUUCAUUUGCAAAAUGGGCAAAACAGUACCUGAAGAGAAAACAUACAUCCAUAUAAAACUACACAUGAAGAACUGCAGCAACAUUAUCCACAAGAGCCCCCAGGGGACAGUCGUAUGUCUAUCAAGUGAUUAAUGGCUGGUCUCCCCCCAACUCCUUUCUGCCCUUCUCUGUCCCCCACCACCUUUCUCUGUCGUCAUGGCUCUGCCUGUCUACAUAGAAAUGUAUCUACUCAUUGGCCUCACCCCCUUCGCCAGGCCCUCACUUCCCUCCUUUCCACCAAAUAAACACCUUUCUACCAGAUCUGUUCUAUGGCAUAAUUACUUGGGGGCAUACUUUGGCAUAGGUCUGACAGGUACCCCCUUGCCACAUUAUCUUACAUAACGUAAAUAGCCUUAUUGGUUAUUCUGCAAAUUUGAGACAGCCUGGACUUCAAGAGCCCUGUCUAUAAAUAAAUAAAAAAAUAAGCAAAUACAUAAAUAGCCUUAUAGUAUCUAUAUUGCGAGUACUGUUAAAAUUAACUGAUUUAAUUCUUUGAGUUAUUUAUUACAACGCUGGUAAGCAACAAAUAAAUAUUGCCUUCAACAAC